rnacentral:lncRNA from 1 species
CUUAUCCAACUUUGAUCCUCUAGGCUCUUGAGCUAAAUCAAACAAAUUUACUUCAUGAUACAUUCGGCCUUGGCAACAAUUUCAUUAGAAAUCCUUAUUAGCCACUUCAUCAAUCAAUUAUAUCAUCUACUUAAUAUUUCAUAACUUAUCAUGCUAGCUGAAUAUUAUUUAUUCAAGUUCAUCAUCUUCAUAUUCGGCAUUAGCAUCAAAUAUAAUAGCCCAUUUCUUCCCACUUUGAAUUUAUGCAUCCAUUUAAUCAUAGUUUGUUUAAGCACUCAUACAACAAGAUUCAUCCAAUUUAACAAGAAACAAAAACUUUAUUCCUCCAUAGCUACAAUGGCCGAAAGAUCUAGACAUCUCAAUACUGAAAUUUCUAACAUGGGUUGCCUAAAGAAUUUGGUAGGGAGUUCAAAUUUAUCUAGCAUUUCAAGUAAUUUAACACAUCCAUAUAGCUAACAUGCUAGUAGUAUCAAGGCAUCAACUAAAAUUUUGAAGCCUCUUAGCCGAAUCCUAACUCUCCAACAACUCUAAUUUCAUCCAUGAGAUAAAUAGAAGUAGGCUAACCCUCCAAAGGAUGUGUAAACCUCCAAAAGCAACAUUGAACAUACCUUAAUCUCAAGAACCACCUUGGCCGAACUUCCCCUCUUCUUCUUCCUUCC